UACGGGGGGAGCAAGCGUUGUUCGGAUUUACUGGGCGUAAAGGGCUCGUAGGCGGCCAACUAAGUCAGACGUGAAAUCCCUCAGCUUAACUGGGGAACUGCGUCUGAUACUGGAUGGCUUGAGACCGGGAGAGGUGAGUGGAAUUCCCAGUGUAGCGGUGAAAUGCGUAGAUAUUGGGAGGAACACCAGUGGCGAAGGCGGCUCACUGGACCGGAACUGACGCUGAGGCGCGAAAGCGUGGGGAGCAAACAGG
rnacentral:rRNA from 1 species